CCUACGGGUGGCAGCAGUGGGGAAUAUUGCGCAAUGGGCGAAAGCCUGACGCAGCGACGCCGCGUGAGGGAUGAAGGUCUUCGGAUCGUAAACCUCUGUCAGCAGGGAAGAAAGGUCACUGGGCAAAUCAGCAGUGAAUUGACGGUAACUGCAAAGGAAGCACCGGCUAACUCCGUGCCAGCAGCCGCGGUACUACGGUGGGUGCGAGCGUUGAGCGGAAUUACUGGGCGUAAAGCGCUCGGAGGCGGGAUGGCAAGUCAAGGGGGAAAUCCCCGCGCUCAACGUGGGAACUGCCCUUGAAACUGGCAAACUGGAGUGUGUGAGAGGAUGGUGGAAUUCCUAGUGUAGG
rnacentral:rRNA from 1 species